GGACUACUGGGGUAUCUAAUCCGUUUUGCUCCCCAUCCUUUCGUACCUCAACGUCAGUGAAAAGUUAGAAAGAUGCCUUCGCCUUUAGUGGUCUUCUAAAUAUCAACAGAUUUCAUCCCUACUCUCAGAAUUCCUCUUUCCUCUAUUACACUCUAGUUUUGUCAUAACUAAAUUAUUAUUAUUAAUUUAAUUUAGGAAUAUUUAGUUGAUCAAAACAGUCUACGUACCCUUUAGACCCAUUAAUGAUGAAUAACGUUUACCCCUCUCGUAUUACCGCGGCUGCUGGCAC
rnacentral:rRNA from 1 species